AGGCUACAUUGGUUCACAUGCUACGCUUCGGCUUCUGAAGGAAAAUUAUCGUGUCACUAUAGUAGACAAUCUGUCACGAGGAAAUAUGGGUGCCGUCAGAGUUCUUCAAAAUUUAUUUCCAGAACCAGGAAGGCUUCAAUUUAUAUAUGCUGACUUGGGAGAUCAGACAUCUGUUAAUAAAAUAUUUUUGGAGAAUAAGUUUGAUGCUGUGAUGCACUUUGCUGCUGUUGCAUAUGUUGGGGAAAGCACUG